CCAAAAUCAAUAAGAGAGAGCAUCUUUUAAUGAAAGAGCAGUUUGAGCAACAUACUUCAGAAAUGGGGUCCUGUUCAUCCUUUGCUUUACAAAUCGAUCUCCUUGGUUCCUUAAGUGAGGUCCAAUUGGUUGACAUUGUGGUUUGUCUUUGUGUGUAAACUUGCAGCUUCAGAAAAGAGAAGAUGAGCUACAAAGACAGCAAUAGGAAACACUCUGCAGCAGAGCAAGGAUGAUCUUCUUACUGAGCUGGAAGACUGAAAGACGAUUGUUCAAGAGCACAAGCAGCCUUCAGUGGACAUUCAGAGUGUGCCUACAACUGGAGAAGCUCACUGGCGUGACGCCUUUGUUGCUCAUAAAUCUGAUUUCACAGAACUUGAAAAGAAGUUGGAUGAUACCGAAAAGGAACUGGAGGAGGUGCAUGCUGAUCUUGUCAUGGUCAUGCAGGAACUUGAUUUGGCAAGAGCUGAGGUACAACUAUGUGUUUAAACAUCACGUGAAUGAGUGCUGCAACAACCAGUUUUGUUUUGUCUCCUUUGGGUAGUGC
rnacentral:lncRNA from 1 species